rnacentral:lncRNA from 1 species
AGCACAUAACCUCACAACUUGAAUAAAACCUCAAUUUAAUUUAACUUUCAACUGAAAAUAAUUGUUUAGCCUCUAAGAGUUAUAAUAAAAUUGCAAAAGCUAAAGAAAAGAAGAAGAAAAGAAAAAGAAAAGAAGAAGAAAAAGAUGGAGAAGAAGAGAGGAGAGGAGGGAGAGAGGGAAAAAUAUGUGAUGCCUAGGUUUAAUUUUAGGAGUUUUUAUAUAGGCAAAAAAAUAAAAUUUAAUAAUUUAAAAUAAACUCUACUACUCCUAUCUUAUCCCUAUUCUAAUCUGAUUGUGUUUUAUCCCAUUUGAAACUGAUAUUAUCGUGGCAAAAUUUGCUGAAGUGGUGCUUUCUGAAACUCCCAUCGCCUUGGGCUACAGGUUUGAAACCUGUCUAAAAUUAAAUUUCAAGUAAAAAUUGAAUAUUUAUAUAAAAAUCAUAGCAAAAUUAUAUAAUUAAAUAAGAAAAAAGUUGUGAGUUUUGCAACUCAUUAGAUUUGCCACACUUGCACCUUUGCUUGUCCUCAAGUACAAAAAUUAAAAUGAAACAAUAAAACAGCAAAAACCCAAAGAAAAAUGGCAGAAAAAGAAUAAAAGUUUCCAAAAAUUUCAUAACACAGCAAAUAUAUAUGUUCAUCAAUCAGUCAUCAAUCACAAAAAAAUACUUCUAUUUUCAUACCAUAUCUCUCCCCACACUUACUCCUCACAUUAUCCUCCUCAAUGUGGAAAAAAUUAAUCAAACGGGAAAGUUCACAAAAUAAAAUAAAAGUAAGUCAGAUAGAACUUUCCUGAGGAGUAAGUAGAACUCAAGCAAGCUGGUGGUGAUUGGGGUAUGGGUAACCCAAAUGAGAGAAAAUGGCAUCCAAUUUAGCAUCAAUGUGGUCGUGAAGGCCUCAUGGUAGAGAUUUAGGGAAAGAGAAGGGCAAAAGUUAAAGAAUUUUAGAGCAAGGGAAGGACAACUUAGCAAUUUCAAAAUUUCGGAGGCUUCAAUUAGGGGUGACGGAGAUGGAGAGAGAGGAGAGAUAUUCCUUAAGAGAAAGGAAAGGAUCUGGGUCAAUUUGUAGGAUAAAUGAGGAGGGGCGAGAAUGACUGUGGUAUUACAGUGGGAUUGAAGGAGAAUUUAGGAGGUUUACAAAUGAAGUGACGGCAGGGGAAUGGCAACCAUGAGGAUCGGAGGGGAGAGAUAGAAUUACUUAGGCAAUAGAGGCAAGAGAGCUUAAAGAGAGGGUGGCUGACGAGAACGAAAUGAAGGAGAAAGAUG